AGAAAGCAUUGUGAUUUCAGUGACGGGACUUUGGGGGCGAGAUGAGUAUUGAUCUCUAUCCAACUGGCCCGCAAAGUCCCGCUUCUGGGACUCACCCUCACAGC
rnacentral:miRNA from 8 species